AAAUUGAAGAGUUUGAUCAUGGCUCAGAUUGAACGCUGGCGGCAGGCCUAACACAUGCAAGUCGAACGGUAGCACAGAGAGCUUGCUCUCGGGUGACGAGUGGCGGACGGGUGAGUAAUGUCUGGGAAACUGCCUGAUGGAGGGGGAUAACUACUGGAAACGGUGGCUAAUACCGCAUAACGUCGCAAGACCAAAGAGGGGGACCUUCGGGCCUCUUGCCAUCAGAUGUGCCCAGAUGGGAUUAGCUUGUUGGUGAGGUAACGGCUCACCAAGGCGACGAUCCCUAGCUGGUCUGAGAGGAUGACCAGCCACACUGGAACUGAGAC
rnacentral:rRNA from 1 species